rnacentral:rRNA from 1 species
AGCUCCAAUAGCGUAUAUUAACGUUGUUGUGGUUAAAAAGCUCGUAGUUGGAUCUCAACAGCCUUGAAGCGGUUAACUUUGUAGUUUUACUGCUUUGUAGUCUGUGCUUUUGCUGGAGGUUUAGGGGUGCUCUUGAUCGAGUGUCUCUGGAUGCCAGCAGGUUUACUUUGAAAAAAUUAGAGUGCUCAAAGCAGGCUAAAAUGCCUGAAUAUUCGUGCAUGGAAUAAUAGAAUAGGAUGUCGAUCCUAUUUUGUUGGUUUUCGGGACUCGACAUAAUGAUAAAUAGGGACAGUCGGGGGCAUUUGUAUUCAAACGACAGAGGGGAAAGGAGGGGACCGGGGGAAGACAAACGACGGCGAAAGCAGUUGCCAAGAAUGGUUGCA